AGUGAACGCUGGCGGUAGGCCUAACACAUGCAAGUCGAACGGAAGCACAGUAAGAGCUUGCUCUUACGGGUGGCGGGUGGCGGACGGGUGAGGAAUACAUCGGAAUCUACUUUUUCGUGGGGGAUAACGUAGGGAAACUUACGCUAAUACAGCAUACGACGUACGGGUGAAAGCAGGGGAUCUUCGGACCUUGCGCGAUUGAAUGCGCGGAUGUCGGGUUAGCUAGUUGGCGGGGUAAAGGCCCACCAAGGCGCGGAUCCGUAGCCGGACUGAGAGGAGGGUCAGCCACACUGGAGGUGAGACACGGUCCAGACUCCUACGGGAGGCAGCAGUGGGGAAUAUGGGACAAUGGGCGCAAGCCUGAUCCAGCCAUACCGCGUGGGUGAAGAAGGCCUUCGGGUUGUAAAGUCCUUUUGUUGGGAAAGAAAAGCAGCAGGUUAAUACCCCGCUGUUCUGACGGUACCCAAAGAAUAAGCACCGGCUAACUUCGUG
rnacentral:rRNA from 1 species